UGUAAGCGUAUACCAAAGUUGUUGCAGUUAAAACGCUCGUAGUCGGAAUUUGGCAGUUCCGGAUGUGUGCACGUCGUGUGCGCACUUCGCGGGGAUUGCUUUUGUGGUCUUGCGUAGGAUGAGGCACUUUUAUUAGUGAACGUCCUCACGCAACCACUUUUUACUGUGAGAAAAUCAGAGUGCUCAAAGAAGGCAUUUGCCGUGAAUGUAUUAGCAUGGAAUAAUAGAAUAGGACUUGGUUCUAUUUUGUUGGUUUGUUGGGACUGAGUAAUGAUUAAGAGGGACAGUUGGGGGCAUUUGUAUUUCGGUGCUAGAGGUGAAAUUCUUAGAUUACCGAAAGACAAACUGCUGCGAAAGCGUCUGCCAAGGAUGUUUUCAUUGA
rnacentral:rRNA from 1 species